rnacentral:rRNA from 1 species
GAUGAACGCUGGCGGCGUGCCUAACACAUGCAAGUCGAACGAAGCGCCUUACCGGUUUCUUCGGGUGAAGGUCUGGUGACUGAGUGGCGGACGGGUGAGUAACGCGUGGGUAACCUGCCCUGUACAGGGGGAUAACGGCUGGAAACGGCUGCUAAUACCGCAUACGCGCACGAGGAGACAUCUCCUCGUGUGAAAAAGUCCGGUGGGAUAGGUUGGGCCCGCGUCUGAUUAGCUGGUUGGUAGGGUGAUGGCAUACCAAGGCAACGAUCAGUAGCCGGGAUGGGAGGCUGACCGGACACAUUGGAGCUGAGACACAGUCCCAAAUCCUACGCAAGGCAGGAGUGGAGAACAUUGCACAAUGGGGGCAGCCCUGAUGCAGCAACGCCGGGUAAGUGAAGCAGUAUGUCGGUAUGUAAUGCUCUAUCAGCAGGGAAGAUAAUGACGGUACCUGACUAAGAAGCUCCGGCUAAAUACGUG